rnacentral:rRNA from 1 species
UACGUAGGGUGCGAGCGUUGUCCGGAAUUAUUGGGCGUAAAGGGCUCGUAGGCGGUUUGUCGCGUCGGGAGUGAAAUCCACUGGCUUAACUGGUGGCUUGCUUUCGAUACGGGCAGACUGGAGGUAUGCAGGGGAGAACGGAAUUCCUGGUGUAGCGGUGAAAUGCGCAGAUAUCAGGAGGAACACCGGUGGCGAAGGCGGUUCUCUGGGAAUGUCCUGACGCUGAGGAGCGAAAGCCAGGGUAGCGAACGGG